rnacentral:lncRNA from 1 species
UUUGAAUUCUGCCCCUAGCUCACCAUUUAUGUGCUAGUUGGUAAAUAUCUAGCUAAACAAUGCAAGUAAAAUGCUUGGCUCAGUGCCUGACAAGACAUCAAAUAUUCAAUGGUUAUAAAUGACUUUAUUAUAAUACAGUAAUAGAUAAUGUAGGGUAGAUAUAGGAAAUUAGGUAAUUUUCUAUUCUGUUCACUUAAUUCUAUUAAUCCAAAAUGGUUAGGAGAAGGUAGUUCCUCGGACCAGCCUUGUGUUGAUGGUGCUUUAAGGAAUGCAGAAAGAAAAACACACACAAAUUAUGCAUCUCUUGGGGGAAUGUGGCGCUGAAAAAGGAUAGAAAAUGCAGUCAGCUCAGUGGUGAAAGAUGCAAGGAGCAGAGGUCUGAAGAGCCACAGUCAGAGAAUCCCUGUGCUCUUGUCAGGAGAGUAACCUGGUAUAUACUCAGAGUUUUGUUUAUUCUAUUAAACACUGUAGAAAGGAGGAAUUCUUGAUAUUUGGGAUAUAUGCACAGUCUAAAGGUCACAGCCAAAGACACAAUGAGUGAUAUGAAUGCCAAGACAACAGGAAAACUCAAAAGAAUGAAAAUCCACUGGAAAUUAUAGUGGCCCAGAAAGGUCUGUUAGCCUUGAAUGUUUAAGAAUUAGAGAUGGUUGUG